AUGGAACAAGCUGCUGGGCCUCUUCUCCCGCGGCGGCCCGCCCAGCCUAGCCCGCAGGCUGUUCGACUCGAUGCCCGAGCCGGACGCCGUCUCCUACAGCACCCUCAUCGCGCGGCUCUCCCGCUCGCCUGCCUACCCGCGCAUGCUAAGCGUUGGCCCGAGGCCCGACGGGACCACCCUCUCCGCGCUCCUCGCGCGGCCCUGCGACGGGGGCUUCGUCCAGCAGGUGCACGCCCACGCGGUGCGCUCGAGCGCGUUCGUCGGGAUCGCCCUGGUGCGCGCCUACGGGCUGUGCGGGGUCGCCCUGGUGAGCGCGUUCGAGGAGGUCGCCGAGUCGGACGCCGUGUGCUGGAACGUCAUGGUCGACGCCCGUGGAUGGGCGGGGCCGGAGGCGUCGUCGCCGACGGGUCCACGCUCGCGAGCGUCCUGAAGGCGUGCGCGUGCGUGGAGGACCUGGGCCUCGGCGCGCAGCUCCAUGCGUGCGCGUGCAAGGCUGGGUCUGACUCGGAGACGGCCGUCUGCAACGCUCUCAUCACCAUGUACCUGAAAUGCGGCGGAGGGAUGCGCUCAGCUGCCGCAGCCUUCGACGGGGUCUCGGAGCCGAACGUAAUCACCUGGACGGCGUUGAUCGCCGGGCUGGCGCAGAACGGCCUUGUCGCGGAGGCAGUGAGCUUCCACAAAGAAAUGGUGGAGACCGGAGACAGGGAGAACGGCCACUGCUUCGCUAGCGUGCUCUCUGCGUCUGGCGCCCUUCCGAGUCUUGAGCAUGGAAAGAUGGUGCAUUGCCGGGUCAUGAACCUGGGGUUUUGCUCCGAUACGGUUGUUGGGAACGCCCUAGUCAACAUGUACUUCAAGUGUGGCAGCUCAUCGGAUGGUCGGUUUGUGUUUCGCACGAUGCGGGUGCGCGACGUGGUGUCGUGGACAGCCAUGAUUCUCGGCUUCGGGCGUCACGGGGAGGCCAUGAAUGCUGUUCUGUCCUUCAGAGAAAUGAUCCACGGUGGGUUUAGGACAGACAGCAUCACAUUCCUUGCGGUCAUUUCUGCUUGUCGACAAGGGGGUCUGGUGGAUGAAGGGCUUGCGAUCUUCCACUCCAUGGUUGAGGAUCAUGGUGUCAAGCCACGGAGGGAGCAUUGUGAUUGCGUUGUUGAUCUGUUAGGACAUGCCGGUAGACUAAAAGAAGCUGAGGAGUUAAUAAGAGCCGUAGGGCUGGAAAUGGACUCAUUGGCACGGGAGUCGCUUCUAGGUGCUUGCGGUUUACAUGGGGAAGUCGAGCUGGGGUCUGGGGAAGAGGUCGGCAGGGAAGGUCAUGGAACUAGAACCAUGGGGGCAUGGGCCUUAUGUUUUGCUAUCCAACAUGUAUGCUGA
rnacentral:rRNA from 1 species